rnacentral:lncRNA from 1 species
AGCACAAAACAGUAUUCUCUAGGGUGAACCAAACCAAACCAUACCAAAACCGAACCAAGUGGAUUUUAUGGUUUUUAAAUCAGUUUAGACGGUUUUUCCCUCUCAGGUUGGUGUUGUCAGAUAAUUCUUUUUCAGUUUACUUUGUUGAUCGGUUUUUUUAAACACCUCUAUAAAAAAUAGAUGCUCAAUGUUGUUAUCGUGUUUUAAAUAAGCAAGAAAAAUUCAUAACUCGAGUCAAAGACUAGACUGAGUUCAAUAAGAUUGUUUUUUUUAAUUAUAUAAUAUAAAAAAAUUAGGUAAUGCAAUAAAUCAAUCCAAUGAAACAAAAAAAUUGACAAUGAUAACCUAAAAAAUCCCCUUGUUCAUAUUAUAAAAAAAAGAUAUUUUGUAAAUAUAUAUAAAAAUAUCUCUAUAAUCUUACUUGAUAAAAAAAAAACUUUAAUAAAAUAAUAUUAAAAAUAUAUUUUUAGACGUUAUUCUUAGAAUAAAAAAAAAAGGCCAACUAACAAAAUGUCAAAGGGCAAAAUAAAAAAAAAACAUAAAAAUGACCUAAAUCAACACAAGUUAAACCAUAAACAUACAACCCAAGCAAUGAGAACAAGGUAACCC